rnacentral:rRNA from 1 species
CAGCAGCCGCGGUAAUGCGAAGGGUGCAAGCGUUAAUCGGAAUUACUGGGCGUAAAGCGUGCGUAGGCGGUUUGUUAAGUCUGUUGUGAAAUCCCCGGGCUCAACCUGGGAAUGGCAAUGGAUACUGGCAAGCUAGAGUGUGUCAGAGGAUGGUGGAAUUCCCGGUGUAGCGGUGAAAUGCGUAGAGAUCGGGAGGAACAUCAGUGGCGAAGGCGGCCAUCUGGGACAACACUGACGCUGAGGCACGAAAGCGUGGGGAGCAAACAGGAUUAGAUACCCCUGUAGUCCCUGUCUCUUAUAA